rnacentral:lncRNA from 1 species
UGUUUGCUAGGACAUCCAUAUAUCAAUCGAACACUAACUCUUACUCAUAUACGCUAAAAGGUGCAUUAGGCGAAAGAUCAUGAUAAAUCUCAGUUAAAAUUUCACCCCAAGGCUCUCGAAGAGAGUCCGCUAAAAUAGUUAAUGCUUCCCAAUCAGUAAUUUUUUCGUAAUUAGCCAAUUCAACUUUUUUUUAUCUUAAAGAGGUGUACAUGAUCAGGAACGGAAACAUCAGGGCUCAUUUUAAAUUCCUUAAACUCCCUAAAUUUCUUUUCUCUUUCCCUUCGUUCAACCCUUCGAUCCCUUAACUCAUUUUGUGUCGCCCUUGGGACAUUGAUGACUUCAGGCUCCGAGUCUGAAUCAUUAUAGAAAUAAGUCCUGCGGUGACGUACCCUUCUACGUUGUCCUCUUCUUGACUUCGAGAGCUCCCACUUGGAGUAAUUCGAACUUGUCCUUCUUCAGCCAUAUCUGAAAUAGGACAAAGGAAACACUUAGAAUGGCUAAAACCAUUCAAUGUGAUAACACAUAUCACAAUUACUAGUAGAAGGAUAUUAAUUUAAGGGAUUAAGACUAACCAAAAUUUUCUGUUUAAUAAAACAAGAGUUAUCUACUGUCAACAAAAGUAUAUUAAUUAUAAAACAAACCUGGAAAUAACCUUAUUUUGCUUCUGUGUUUUCCAAUUUUGAACAAGAUUUUUGAGAAAGUACAAUAUCCAAUAUACAGAAAGUAUAUCUGGUCAAGAUUGUACAAGUGUUUAAGAUUGUACCGGUGACCUACGCUCACAGUCGUUAAACAUUUUUAAAUGGAAUGAUUUUUCUGGAUUCACUCUUCAGUUUUAGGAAUGUAUAUGCUAAUCUUAGUUGGUCACGUGAAGUAAAUCGGUCAACUUCAUUGAACCAGAGGCUCUGCCAUAAUAUAAAAACACUGUAUCACUUAACAAGGAAUCCUUGUGACAAGUAAAGAUCCUAUCCCACUUUAAAGAGGAAAAUAUCAUCACUGCCACUGCAAUACCUCUUAAGAGUAGCAACAUUGUAGGCGGAUUAUAUGGUUAAUCCAGCCAAUCACAAAUCAAUAGAAGAAAGGACUUCAAUUAACCUUUGAAACAAACAAGUUGCCGCAGCAUCUUCAGGGAAACCCCAGCGGCAAUGUUACUCAUCCUUUUACCUUCUAACUUUAUCUUUAUUUUGUUGAAUUACGACCAAUCAUCAAAGACAGAAGCCUCUAAUAUUGAAAUUUACAAACACUUUGAAGCAGUAAUGUUUGAAACAAAAUAGAAAAAAGAUCACUCUGUCAAAUAAAACACCAACAAACUGCAAAACAUUAUUACUGACAGCAAAUCCAUUAAAGUUUAUAGAGGAAGGAUAUAAGCAUAUCAUCUUUCACAUAUGUUGCUGCAAACAGUACUUUAGCAGACAAAUAACGGUGGCUCUGAUACCAUUGUUAGAUUAAAUCGAGGGGAGAGAACAACGAAUUGUGUACCUUAUUGAUGCAGCGGAAACCGUUAAACUCACCACCAAAAGAAUUGCCCAAAUCGUAUUCUGAAUCUCCAGGAAACAGAGUUUUUAUUCACAAACUAAAUGUCUAAAGUUCACUGUGUUCUUCCUUUCUUUAAUUUUUUGCACACCAGAAUCUCCAUACUGAAGAGAAGUAUUUAGAGAAGAGGAGAUGGGGAGAACUACCGAUGAUAACUCCUACUCCACGUUCUCACGUCUCUC